AGGAGGGCGGGAGUUGAUUGGCCGACACACAGCUGACAUUGAGUACAUCGUUGGGACUAACAGUAGAGUCAUGUCUUCCACAGGAGUGUCGUCUUUGUGAUGUAACUUGCUACCUGGCAGUCAUUAAUCUCACUGACAAAGGGAUGCCGAAACCUUCUCAAUCCUUUUCUGAUAGACAUGAAUCAGAGUGAUCAGGAGACCUAAUAUUUCACUCCAGAAAUUCUAGAGUUUUGCUUCCUCUGCGUGAUGGACACAAAUGUCUUCAGAUCUGCUGAUUCGGUAGAAGUGAACUUGGAUCAUCCAGGACCAUGUUAUUGGGGCUCCAUCUUACAGUAGAUGAGAACAGAAUGGCAGUGGCAUUAUAAAUUCUCUAGAUUAGAAGCCAGGGAGAAGAAAUUUUAUAAGAUAUGAUGUGAUGUUUUGCUUUGGGCCAAAAACACAAUGCAUUCCCCAAAGAGAGAAUGCAUUUUUUCAUACUGCUUCAAGAUUCAUGC